rnacentral:lncRNA from 1 species
UUGUCCAUAUGGCACUUUUUUUAUGGCACAAUGACCUCACUCUAAAACUCACCUUUUACUUAUAAGGAGCUUAUGGUAGCAGGGGAGGCACACAGAGGUCACAUAAUAGAGGCUAAGACCCAUGGUCUCCCUGGAGUGGUGACUCCUGUGGUCUCCGGGGACCUUUCUCCUUCUGUGUGUGCAGCUCCAGCCAGGGUAUUUGAAGGUAGAACUUUCUUUAGGAUACAGAAUAAUGAAGCCUCAGGGUUCAUUUCAGACUUCCUAGCAGGCUGGAUAGGGGGUGUCGUUCUUGGGAAGUUCCUCCUGGCGUCUCUGAAAUCAUUCAGAAAAAGGUUGUCCAGGUGCCUCCAGAGUGUUCUUGGCUGAUGUUUGUCCUGCGUUCCUCUGACUGCUAGGCUUAAGCGUCUUCCACUCAGAGUUCAAUUCCUCACAUGCUGGAAGGCAGGACAGCGAGCACUCUGGGAGGUCCACCAAGCACUUUGUGCUCCAUUCCCUGCACUGUCUGCUCAGGAAAUCUCCUCACGCAACCAUCUGAGGCCUGGUCCUUAAAGUGGAACCUGUCACGCUGGAGCUGAGUGUUGCCUCGGUCCACACAGCAUCUUGGAGACAUUUAUGGUUUCUGCUCUGAGUGUCUCUUGAUGGAAUUGUUAGUGGCUGCUGCAAUGCAGAUAAUAUGGAAAACUAUUGUGGUAACUGUGGCUGUUGGCAUGGUGGCUUUCCACCUGGGAUCCCUGGAGUCUUGGCGCCUGGCAGAGGCAGCACUGGGAGGAGGAGGAGACUGAGCUGGUGAGGACCUGAGCCGUUGAUCCCUUCUCUCCCACCCCCUACGUGCCCUUAAUCCAAAGCAGUUUUUAACCUCCCCGCCUUUUGUAAAUGAUAAAGUUUUGGAUAAGAUGUUAUUUAAAGAAAGAUUUUGAUGCCAAGACAUGUUGAAAAUCCCUGCAGUGGGGAAGUCAGGAAAAGUUGGUAUAAUGCUGGGUUAUUAACCUUCUUUGGUGCAAGACCUUUUUUUGAGAUGUGAUGAAACUGUUUCUCCAAAAAAAGCUCAUACCCCACAAUAUUGCAUCAGGAUUGCUGAAGCCAUCUGUGCAUGUGGCCCACAGCCCUGGUUAGGGAUCCCUUGUGGAUUGGGAAGAUUAUGGGUUGUGGAUAUGGACAGAUAGAGAUUUAACCCUGCCUCAGACUUCACUCACUUUUUAACCUCAGGGUAUCUUAGUAAACCUCUUUACAUUCCAGUUUGUUGUCUGUAAAACAGGGACAAUUAUGUAUUUUUGUGAAGAUGAGAGAACUUCAAAUGUCAAAUCACAUGGUAGAUGUUAAGUAAACUGUAACCACUAAAAGGCAGCAAAGUGAUGAUUAAACAUUUAUUAAUACUUCACAUGUGGUAAACCCAUAUCAUCUUAUUAAAUCCUCACAAUAAAUAUGGAAGGUAAGUGUUCUUACCCUUUCUUUACAGAGAGGGUAAACUGACAGGUGGGAAACUGAGGCCUGGAGAGAUUUCGUCUCCUGCUCAACAUUGUCACAACUUGUCAGAGACGGAGUCUGAGCAAAAUCCCGGCUCUGCCUGAUUCUGAAGCCUGGACUUUUACAGAACACUGCCUCUGACCAUGGCUAUGCUGGCAUUCAGCAAGUAGGAACAUCAGGAGCACUGAGGCUCUCACUAAUGGUCCUGUCCCAGCCCCUCCACUGUGAAGCUGAGACCUUUCACAGGAACCAAAAAGGGAUUGAUGCUGUGGAGAUGGGGCACUGAUACUCGCAGGUAUGCACACUGCUGGGCAGGUCCGCAUGACUGAUACGUGCCAGAAGCCAACUGGAACAAAGCUGUGAAAUGGGAGCAUUUCUGAGAAAGAGAAUAGCAGCCCCUCCCUGGUGCCAGCCCAGCCCACACAGCUGGGCCUGGCAUUCUCCCUAACACAACGCAUCGCUGAAGAGCAACACCAGACAAGCCACUCAUGACCCAAUGCAGCAAGACAGACAGACACCGGGUGACUGUGUCUGGACGCAGAAAACAUGCCAUGGUCUAGCCACCAAUCACAGACACUGGGCGACCGUGUCUGGACACAUAUGGGACCCACCUCGGCCCAACCACCGAGCGAUUCCCUGUUAUGCCUACUAGGGGAAAGGGAAGGAGCCUGGAGGCCACAGGGACAUGGCCUCAGGGAGGCAGGCCCUCUGGUCAAUGUGAAGAGAACACAAGGCACCCACAAAC